ACAAUAAAUAUUACUUUGCUAAUCAAGAUUAAACACUUUUAAUUUUCUUUACGAAAAAAAAAUAUUUUUAAUAAGAACUAUACUAAACAAAAAAAUGAAGUUCACUUUGUUUCUCAUAUUGGUAAUAAUGGCUAUUUAUUAUGUUGAAACUCAAUGUACUUCCGACGAAAUUCAAUGCGGAGAUGAUUGUAUUCCUUCGUUGAAUUACCGCUGCUGUGAUGGAAAACCAAGAAGAAACGAUGAAUACGGAGAAUGUGGAAAAACAUGUUAUCGCUUUGCAGAAGAAAUAUGUUGCAAUGGUGUUCCUCUUCCAUCAGACGAAUGGAAGAUUUGUGGUGGAGUUUGUCUGAAAACCAAAUAUUGUUGAUGUUGCUAAGUAAACGUUGAUAUUGCUAAGUAAACGUUGAUGAUGUUAUGCAGACAAUUUGUUAAUUUCUGUUAUUGAACUUUGAUUAAGUUGAAUAAAAUUUAUUUGAAUAUUAA